UACGUAGGGUGCAAGCGUUUGUCCGGAAUUAUUGGGCGUAAAGAGCUCGUAGGCGGUCCGUCACGUCGGCUGUGAAAACCUGGGGCUCAACCCCGGGCCUGCAGCCGAUACGGGCGGACUAGAAUUCGGUAGGGGAGACUGGAAUUCCUGGUGUAGCGGUGAAAUGCGCAGAUAUCAGGAGGAACACCGGUGGCGAAGGCGGGUCUCUGGGCCGAUACUGACGCUGAGGAGCGAAAGCAUGGGGAGCGAACAGG
rnacentral:rRNA from 1 species